AGAGUUUGAUCCUGGCUCAGAGCGAACGUUAGCGGCGCGCCUAACACAUGCAAGUCGCACGAGGUAGCAAUACCUAGUGGCGCACGGGUGCGUAACACGUAGAUAAUCUGCCCUUCAGCGGGGGAUAACGUUCCGAAAGGAGCGCUAAUACCGCAUACAGCAGUUUUCGGUUCGCCGGAGAUUGGCAAAGGCUGGGAUCGCAAGACCAGUCACUGGAGGAGGAGUCUGCGGCCCAUCAGCUAGUUGGUAAGGUAAUGGCUUACCAAGGCAAAGACGGGUAGCUGGUCUGAGAGGAUGAUCAGCCACACUGGUACUGGAACACGGACCAGACUCCUACGGGAGGCAGCAGUGGGGAAUCUUGGUCAAUGGGCGCAAGCCUGAACCAGCGACGCCGCGUGAGUGAUGAAGGCCUUCGGGUUGUAAAGCUCUGUGGGGAGAGACGAAAGAAUCGGUUCUAACAGGACCGAAGUUGACGGUAUCUCCUUAGCAAGCACCGGCUAACUCUGUGCCAGCAGCCGCGGUAAGACAGAGGGUGCAAACGUUGCUCGGAAUCACUGGGCGUAAAAGGCGUGUAGGCGGGAAUGUAAGUCGGGCGUGAAAUCCCUAGGCUCAACCUAGGAACUGCACUCGAAACUGCGUUUCUUGAGUAUCGGAGAGGAAAGCGGAAUUCCUGGUGUAGAGGUGAAAUUCGUAGAUAUCAGGAGGAACACCAGUGGCGAAGGCGGCUUUCUGGACGAUUACUGACGCUGAGACGCGAAAGCGUGGGGAGCAAACAGGAUUAGAUACCCUGGUAGUCC
rnacentral:rRNA from 1 species